rnacentral:tRNA from 1 species
GGUGGGGUCGCAUAGCGGCCUAGUGCACCGCCUUGGAAAGGCGGCAUACCGAAAGGUAUCGUGGGUUCAAAUCCCACCCCCACCGCCA